rnacentral:rRNA from 1 species
CAGUAGCCGCGGGAAUACGAAGGGGGCUAGCGUUGCUCGGAAUGACUGGGCGUAAAGGGCGCGUUGGCGGCUGACACAGUCAGAUGUGAAAUUCCUGGGCUCAACCUGGGGACUGCAUUUGAGACGUGUUGGCUUGAGUGGAGAAGAGGGUCGUGGAAUUUCCAGUGUAGAGGUGAAAUUCGUAGAUAUUGGAAAGAACACCGGUGGCGAAGGCGGCGACCUGGUUCAUGAUUGACGCUGAGGCGCGAAAGCGUGGGGAGCAAACAGGAUUAGAUACCCCCGUAGUCCCUGUCUCUUAUAC